rnacentral:rRNA from 1 species
GACGAACCGUGCGAACGUUAUUCGGAAUCACUGGGCUUAAAGCGCGUGUAGGCGGGACGGCACGUCGGUCGCUGAAAGCCCCCGGCUCAACCGGGGAACGGGCGCCGAUACGACCGGCCUGGAGGGACGUAGGGGGACCUGGAACUUCCGGUGGAGCGGUGAAAUGCGUUGAGAUCGGAAGGAACGCCCGUGGCGAAAGCGGCUCUCUGGGACGGUACUGACGCUGAGACGCGAAAGCGUGGGGAGCGAACAGG